GGAGAUAUAAGGGGUUUUAGCCGUUUCACGCCCCUCGAAAUGCGAUAGGUCUGCAAGGGCGCGUGGGUUCGAAUCCCACCAUCUUCGCCA
rnacentral:tRNA from 1 species